rnacentral:rRNA from 1 species
CAGUAGCCGCGGUAAUACAGAGGGUGCGAGCGUUAAUCGGAUUUACUGGGCGUAAAGCGUGCGUAGGCGGCUAAUUGAGUCGGAUGUGAAAUCCCCGAGCUUAACUUGGGAAUUGCAUUCGAUACUGGUUAGCUAGAGUGUGGGAGAGGAUGGUAGAAUUCCAGGUGUAGCGGUGAAAUGCGUAGAGAUCUGGAGGAAUAACGAUGGCGAAGGCAGCCAUCUGGCCUAACACUGACGCUGAGGUACGAAAGCAUGGGGAGCAAACAGGAUUAGAGACCCCGGUAGUCCCUGUCUCUUAUAC